CAGUCGCCGCGGUAAAACGGAGGGGGCUAGCGUUGUUCGGAAUUACUGGGCGUAAAGCGCACGUAGGCGGCUUGGUAAGUUAGAGGUGAAAGCCUGGAGCUCAACUCCAGAAUUGCCUUUAAGACUGCCGAGCUAGCAGGUGAGAGAGGUAAGUGGAAUUCCGAGUGUAGAGGUGAAAUUCGUAGAUAUUCGGAGGAACACCUGUGGCGAAAGCGGCUCACUGGACCAUUACUGACGCUGAUGCACGAAAGCUAGGGGAGCAAACAGGAUUAGAUACCCCAGUAGUCCCUGUCUCUUAUAC
rnacentral:rRNA from 1 species